rnacentral:rRNA from 1 species
UAACGCGAAGAACCUUACCAAGGCUUGACAUACACCGGAAACGGCCAGAGAUGGUCGCCCCCUUGUGGUCGGUGUACAGGUGGUGCAUGGUUGUCGUCAGCUCGUGUCGUGAGAUGUUGGGUUAAGUCCCGCAACGAGCGCAACCCUCGUUCUAUGUUGCCAGCGCGUUAUGGCGGGGACUCAUAGGAGACUGCCGGGGUCAACUCGGAGGAAGGUGGGGAUGACGUCAAAUCAUCAUGCCCCUUAUGUCUUGGGCUUCACGCAUGCUACAACGGCCGGUACAAAGGGCUGCGAUACCGUAAGGUGGAGCGAAUCCCAAAAAGCCGGUCUCAGUUCGGAUUGAGGUCUGCAACUCGACCUCAUGAAGUCGGAGUCGCUAGUAAUCGCAGAUCAGCA